GAUGAACGCUGGCGGCGUGCCUAAUACAUGCAAGUCGAGCGAACGGACGAGAAGCUUGCUUUUCUGAUGUUAGCGGCGGACGGGUGAGUAACACGUGGAUAACCUACCUAUAAGACUGGGAUAACUUCGGGAAACCGGAGCUAAUACCGGAUAAUAUUUUGAACCGCAUGGUUCAAAAGUGAAAGACGGUCUUGCUGUCACUUAUAGAUGGAUCCGCGCUGCAUUAGCUAGUCGGUAAGGUAACGGCUUACCAAGGCAACGAUGCAUAGCCGACCUGAGAGGGUGAUCGGCCACACUGGAACUGAGACACGGUCCAGGCUCCUACGGGAGGCAGCAGUAGGGAAUCUUCCGCAAUGGGCGAAAGCCUGACGGAGCAACGCCGCGUGAGUGAUGAAGGUCUUCGGAUCGUAAAACUCUGUUAUUAGGGAAGAACAUAUGUGUAAGUAACUGUGCACAUCUUGACGGUACCUAAUCAGAAAGCCACGGCUAACUACGUG
rnacentral:rRNA from 1 species